rnacentral:rRNA from 1 species
UGGGGAAUAUUGCGCAAUGGGCGAAAGCCUGACGCAGCAAUACCGCGUGUGUGAAGAAGGCCUGCGGGUUGUAAAGCACUUUCAGUAGGGAGGAAAGGUUGCGUGUUAAUAGCACGUAACUGUGACGUUACCUACAGAAGAAGCACCGGCUAACUCCGUGCCAGCAGCCGCGGUAAUACGGAGGGUGCAAGCGUUAAUCGGAAUUACUGGGCGUAAAGCGCGCGUAGGUGGAUUAUUAAGUCAGAUGUGAAAGCCCAGGGCUUAACCUUGGAACUGCAUUUGAUACUGGUAAUCUUGAGUACAGUAGAGGGAGGUGGAAUUUCAGGUGUAGCGGUGAAAUGCGUAGAUAUCUGAAGGAACAUCAGUGGCGAAGGCGGCCUUCUGGACUGAUACUGACACUGAGGUGCGAAAGCGUGGGGAGCGAACAGG